rnacentral:tRNA from 1 species
GACUCCAUAGCUCAGUUGGUUAGAGCGUAGCACUGUUAUUCAGGUAUCCUUCUCCGAUUUCGGUUGGAGAUGCUGAGGUCGGCGGUUCGAGCCCGCCUGGGGUCG